rnacentral:rRNA from 1 species
GAUGAACGCUGGCGGCGUGCCUAACACAUGCAAGUCGAGCGAGAUAAAUGUGAGUGGAGACUUCGGUCAAAGCAAUCAUUUUGAAAGCGGCGGACGGGUGAGUAACGCGUGAGCAAUCUGCCCCAUACAAAGGGAUACCCACUGGAAACGGUGAUUAAUACCUUAUAAGACCACGAAGUCGCCUGGCUUAGUGGCCAAAGAUUUAUCGGUAUGGGAUGAGCUCGCGGAUGAUUAGCUAGUUGGUGAGGUAGUGGCUCACCAAGGCGCCGAUCAGUGGCGGACAUGAGAGGUGGGACGGCCAAACUGGAACUGAGACACGGUCCAGAAUCCUACGGGAGGCAGCAGUGGGGAAAAUUGCACAAUGGGCGCAAGCCUGAUGCAGCAACGCCGCGUGAAUGAUGAAGGCCUUCGGGUCGUAAAGUUCUGUCCUAAGGGAAGAAUACAGUGACGGUACCUUAGGAGGAAGCCCCGGCUAACUACGUGCCAGCAGCCGCCGUAA